UACGAAGGGGGCUAGCGUUGUUCGGAAUCACUGGGCGUAAAGGGCGCGUAGGCGGCCGAUCAAGUCGGGGGUGAAAGCCUGUGGCUCAACCACAGAAUUGCCUUCGAUACUGUUUGGCUUGAGACCGGAAGAGGUAAGUGGAACUGCGAGUGUAGAGGUGAAAUUCGUAGAUAUUCGUAAGAACACCAGUGGCGAAGGCGGCUUGCUGGUCCGGUUCUGACGCUGAGGCGCGAAAGCGUGGGGAGCAAACAGG
rnacentral:rRNA from 1 species